UACGAAGGGGGCUAGCGUUGCUCGGAAUCACUGGGCGUAAAGCGCACGUAGGCGGAUUGUUAAGUCAGGGGUGAAAUCCUGGAGCUCAACUCCAGAACUGCCUUUGAUACUGGCGAUCUCGAGUCCGGGAGAGGUGAGUGGAACUGCGAGUGUAGAGGUGAAAUUCGUAGAUAUUCGCAAGAACACCAGUGGCGAAGGCGGACUCG
rnacentral:rRNA from 1 species